rnacentral:rRNA from 1 species
UUGGUCAUUUAGAGGAAGUAAAAGUCGUAACAAGGUUUCCGUAGGUGAACCUGCGGAAGGAUCAUUAUUGAAAUUUUAAAAAGCUGUUGCUGACUUUAUUGAAGUAUGUGCACGCUUUAUAUUAUAUCUCUUUCAACACCUGUGCACUUUGUGUAGGCCAAUUAAAUUGGUCUAUGUAUUUUAUUUACGCAUGUCCAAAGAAUGUUUAUCAAUGUAUAUUAUACAACUUUUAACAACGGAUCUCUUGGCUCUCGCAUCGAUGAAGAACGCAGCGAAAUGCGAUAAGUAAUGUGAAUUGCAGAAUUCAGUGAAUCAUCGAAUCUUUGAACGCACCUUGCGCUCCUUGGUAUUCCGAGGAGCAUGCCUGUUUGAGUGUCAUAAAAUUUCUCAAAGCUCUGGGGGUUAAUAAACCUGGAUGCUUUGGAUUUGGAGGUUGUGCCGGGGGAAUUUAAACCUGGCUCCUCUUUAAAUGCAUUAGUGAUGUAACCUUUGCGGAUUAGCUUUGAUUUGAUAAUUAUCUAUGUCAUUGCUGUGAAGCAAAAAAUGAUUGCUCUCUAACUGUCGAAAGACAAUAUUGAUAAAUUUGACCUCAAAUCAGGUAGGACUACCCGCUGAACUUAAGCAUAUCAAUAAGCGGAGGAA